GGGCCUAAAGCGUCCGUAGCCGGCCGAACAGGUCCGUCGGGAAAUCCACCCGCUCAACGGGUGGACGUCCGGCGGAAACCAGUCGGCUUGGGGCCGGGAGACCAGAGAGGUACGUCCGGGGUAGGAGUGAAAUCCUGUAAUCCUGGACGGACCGCCGGUAGCGAAAGCGUCUCUGGAGAACGGACCCGACGGUGAGGGACGAAAGCUUGGGUCUCGAACCGGAUUAGAUACCCGGGUAGUCCAAGCUGUAAACGAUGCUCGCUAGGUGUGGCGUUGGCUACGAGCCAGCGCUGUGCCGUAGGGAAGCCGAGAAGCGAGCCGCCUGGGAAGUACGUCCGCAAGGAUGAAACUUAAAGGAAUUGGCGGGGGAGCACUACAACCGGAGGAGCCUGCGGUUUAAUUGGACUCAACGCCGGACAUCUCACCGGCACCGACAGUGUGCAGUGACAGUCAGUCUGAUGGGCUUACUUGAGCCACUGAGAGGAGGUGCAUGGCCGCCGUCAGCUCGUACCGUGAGGCGUCCUGUUAAGUCAGGCAACGAGCGAGACCCGCGUCCCUAAUUGCCAGCAGCAGCCUUGUGCUGGCUGGGUACAUUAGGGAGACUGCCGUCGCUAAGACGGAGGAAGGAACGGGCAACGGUAGGUCAGUAUGCCCCGAAUGUGCCGGGCGACACGCGGGCUACAAUGGCCGAGACAAUGGGACGCUACCCCGAGAGGGGGCGCUAAUCUCCUAACCUCGGUCGUAGUUCGGAUUGCGGGUUGAAACCCACCCGCAUGAAGCUGGAUUCGGUAGUAAUCGC
rnacentral:rRNA from 1 species